rnacentral:rRNA from 1 species
GCACGUAGUUGGCCGGCGCUUCUUCUGCAGGUACCGUCUGUUUUCGUCCCUGCUGAAAGAGGUUUACAACCCGAAGGCCGUCAUCCCUCACGCGGCGUUGCUGCAUCAGGCUUUCGCCCAUUGUGCAAUAUUCCCCACUGCUGCCUCCCGUAGGAGUCUGGGCCGUGUCUCAGUCCCAGUGUGGCCGGUCGCCCUCUCAGGCCGGCUACCCGUCGUCGCCUUGGUAGACCAUCACCCCACCAACUAGCUGAUAGGCCGCGAGCCCAUCCCUGGCCGAAAAACUUUCCACGACCAGACAUGCGUCCGGAAGUGGGUAUUCGGUAUUAGCCCCGGUUUCCCGGGGUUAUCCCAAAGCCAAGGGUAGGUUGCUCACGUGUUACUCACCCGUUCGCCGCUCGAGUACCCCCGAAGGGGCCUUUCCGCUCGACUUGCAUGUGUUAAGCACGCCGCCAGCGUUCGUC